GAGUGAACUUAAUUCUUUUGGAGACCAUGGGAGAAGGAGAAGUUGCAGAUGAUCAAACCCCAUUUUUCCAAACUUAACCAGCAGAGAAUCCUCUCAAGAGAACUGAUUAUAUGGAUAUACCGCACCAGCACCACCAGCCCUCAACAAUGUCUUCUUCAACUUCAUUACAUGCACUUGGAAGUCCUUGGAUUCAGUUUUGUCAUUGUGGAAAAAGGGCACCAGUGAAAACAUCAUGGACUGGUGAAAACAUAGGGAGGAGGUUUUGGGCGUGUGAAAAAUAUGGGGUUGAUGAUACUUGUGGAUACUUUGUUUGGCUUGACCCUCCUACAUGUGCACGUGGUAGAGAAUUGCUGCCUUUGCUUAGAGAGAAGAUAGAUAGCUUAGAGAAGGAGGUGGCAGCAGCCCAUGCAAAGGAGAAAAAAUAUUCUAGAGCAAUGUUGUUUUUUACUUUAUCUUUUAUUGGGUUGACGUGGAUGAACGUAUUUCAAAUUAUUGGAUGAUAUUUAUAUACUCUUAACAAUCAGAUUUACUCUUCUUCUUUUUAUUAUUAUUAUUUUUUUAAUAAGUCUAGUGAAAUAAAUAAAAUGUAACUCUUUUACAACUAGACAAUGUCCCAUGCCAUGGGCAAAAACUUCGUAAUUUCAUUUGAUUUAUGUGUUUUUAUAAAGAUCUAUAAAGUCCAGGCAAAAACUCAUUUUGUUGUAUAAUAUUUAUAAUAUUUUUUCA